CGGCAAUGAGAACCCCACCUUUCGUCCCACUAUUCUUUUUUAUUUAUUUAUCUCUUUCUUUACAGUACUUAAACAGUACAGGUAGGUUGGAUUUUAUGUGUGUGUGGUAAGGGUCUCUAUCAGUUUUCAGGGAGAGGAAGAAAGAGGGUGUGUGUGUAUAAGAGAAGGAGGAGGUUGAUGACUUUGUUAUCACAAAGGAAGAAGAAACAAGAAAGAAAAACACUCUACUUCUGCUUCUCUAUAUCUAUCUUAUUAUCAUAUGUUUGCAAAAGUCUCCUGCAAAAGAAUUCCCUUGCUGGGAAAAGAUAAAGAUGAUUUUUCCUUACCUUUGUUUUGAUUCAUUUUGGAAACAGUGCUUUGCCAGAUUUGUAUGUGUGGUUAUGAGAUCUUCAAUCGCUUUCCUUUCUCUGACUCUAAUGAAGACAGUGACACUUCUCUCUCCCUCUGCUGCUUCUUUAACGCACCUUGACCUUCUCUUCUAUUCACUUCACUGAUUUCUGCUUCUGACCCUUCAACUCUUCCUUUUUCCAAGUUUUGCAUUUUCUGAUUUAGCUUGUUAAUUUACUUGUAUACGUCGUCGUGUCUUCUAAUUCGUAUUUUCUGUCAUGUUGCUUCUCAUUUCUUUCAGUAGUGUUUCUCGCAUCGUCCUUGAGUUGAAGCUUUGAAUUCAAGGUGGGACUUUAUGUGAAUGGUAAGGUUGUAAGUUUAAGAUGUAGGGUAGUGGAUUUAUUUGCUUGUUAUUUUCACUGUAUCACAUGAGUUGACCCUUGAAUUUUUCUGCUUCUGAAUAUACAUAACAUUGCACACGUGUUCAAAUCGAAGAAAGCAGCUCUGGUUUUGGUUUAAUUAGUCACUUUCAUAGUAUGUCGUACUUAGAUGUAUAUAUUUGAUUCUUCUGUUAUGCAUGAUAACCAAAGGGUUAGAAACAAGGGCACCCACUAUUCUAAUUUUGUGAAGGAAAAUGUUACCGAGAGAAUCUUAAAAUUUCUUCUUUGCAGUUUUUGUACUUUGGUUGCUUCAAGACUUAGGGUUAGGGUUCUUUGGUAGGUACUUUUUGCAACGUUUUUGAAACCAAUCACAUUAGAGUUGCAGAAUUUUGCCGUUUCAGAAAAAAAUAUAGUACUUUCUAUGUCAUCUGAGAGUGCAGCAAACUUAUAAUUCUUAACUUGUAAACAUAUUUUCUAAUGGGAAGGGUUAGGAUUCUAUAUAUGCAUAAUAUAAUUUAUUCUCCAGAGAAACUCUAUCUGGUCUUACCUUCAAGAAUAAGUGAGUUUCACAAACCAGAACUAUAUUUUAUAUAUAUCCGAACAUUCCUGUUAUGUUAGUAGUAUAUAUGAGUUAGAGCUAUGAUUUAUUAUAAAGAUUACAUGCAGUGCCUACUGUUCAGAGUUUUAUUUGAUAAAAUUGAUUUCUAGUGGAAAUUAUCAGUAAGUUCACUCGUUAAAUAUUUCAUAAACACUGUUAUUUCUGUUUUGAAGUCUAUAUAUAUUUUGCAAUUAUCUUUGAUUAUUCUCGUGCUUACAGCAAAUGUGAUUAAUUUCAGUUGUUUAUUAAAGAUCUUACACACUGUCAGUGGUGUUUUGAAGUCUAACUACAUCUUGAAUUAUGUUUGAACAUUGGCUUAUUUUGAUAGGCCUUAGAUAUGUUGAAAUACUAUAGCAUUCUAGUUAUCCAAGUUCUUUUUCCAUGCUAUGGAAAUUGCUUUUGGAUUAAUAUUCAAGCUGUAUGUAUUAUUAGGAAUAGUUGAAGAGAGCUUCCUUCAGUCCACUCAUGGAUGGGUAAGGGGUUUGAAUUAGCUGCUGACUCAUUCAUUCAAACACAAUAGAUCCGGCAUCAAGAUAUGCUAUUGUGAAUGUGUGAAUGAUGCAGGAGGUAAAUUUCUUCCUUUUCUUGUCUGUGCUUGGACUGAAGGGAGCUCCCUCUUACUGUUUAUAAUAUUAUGUUGUCUAUUGUCUGGUUAAUUACUCUUUUUCCUUCUUACAUUUAUGCUGGAGUUUAGCAAUAUAUACCUUCAUUUUCACCUUGCUCUGGAAGCAUUUUCAGUUUCUAAUGAAUUGCCAUAAUAAUCAUUCAAUUGAUAUGUAAUAUUACUAUUAUGGUCUUGUAUAUCCUGUCUAGCAAUUUAUUGGUAGGACGAUUUCUUAGUUAUUUUUUUGUUGCUCGUUUCAAUUGAUGCAUGCAUUUGAUUAACCCAUCUUUCUAUGUAUCACGACUUGAUGUUGUGUUGGGGAUUUGAGAUAGAACCCCAUAGAAUUUGUGGCAUGGGGUUCUAUGCAUUAUCUAAAUGGUAGUAUUGUACCAUAUGAAAACUUAUCAUCUUGUGUAGAUGUGAUAUCAAUGAUUUUGGCCGUCAGAUUUUGUGGUUCUACUGAUUGACAUUGUCUUUGGUUUGGUUAGUAGAUUUUGGCCGUCGAUGCACAAUUUUCUGGCAGGGGUGUCUAGAUCUGUUUUCAGAGCUUAUAGAACGAUGCCAAAAAACUAGUGAAUGUAGUUUUGCCUCGGUACGUCAGAUAUGUUAGGGAAUAACAGCCAAGUGUUUCGGGUUGAGAUUUUACGAAAGCUUUUGGGUAUAAUUUUGCAUUGGUACUUCAUGUCGUUGUGAAAAUGAUCUUUUAUUUGUAAUAUCGCAGUCAAAGAUGAACAAAAUUGAUGGGUUCAAAGGUUUUGUAUUUUGUACAUACUAUGGAAGAAUCAUCAUCCCAGAUGGUAAAGUGGACAUAUAAGUCCGGUGAGAUGGAGUGCUUUUACAUGUAUGGGAAUCCAUGUUAUUUAUUACUAUUUGCUGAAGAGACCUUUUUGAUAAGAUGAUUAAAAGCUAGAUAUGAAGUGGACAUAAUAGUAUGUCAAAUUGACCGUGUUUGCUCGUAAUAUUGCAGUCAGAAUUUAACAAAACUCCUGGUUAGAUUUUGUAAUUUGCACCCUCGUGUAAUAACCGUUACCUUUAAUUGUAAAGUGACCCGUCGGUCAAGGGAACUUAAGUGCUUUUUAUAAGUUUAGGGAAGCCAUACGAAAUUCUGCUAAAUCAACUUUAUGUUUAGGCUAGUGUAUCGUUAUCCACAAAAAAGAUUCUAUGAUAUUUGUAGGAGGAAGAAUUCACAUUGUUCUGGAUGACAAUGCCUAAAUUUCGCAUGAUAUGGUCAGGUACAUUUGAGUCGCUAAAUAAAUGGAUUCUAUUGUAAAUUAAUAAAAAAUGGAUACAAAAUCAACUUAAACAUACCCUAUCUCACAGUAAAAUUAAUGAGAAAUGGAUAUAAAAACAAUUUAACAUACUUAUCUCACAAAAUAUAAGGUUUAUCGGGAAAUCUUUCUAUAUGCAUGAUGUGACACAUCAAAUUAUACUUCAUUUGGUUUUAGCACGGGGGAACAAAUCUUAGGUCUAUCUGAAUGAUAAGAAAUUUCUCGGUAAUGUGCAUCACUUUAAUUAUAGCACAUAUAUAAAAAAGAGUGAACUGUAAGCCACGUACAUGAGUGGUGUGCAGUCAAUGAUAAGCAUCUCUCCUUUGAGUAUUCAUGUUGGUUGGGUCACUUGGUUGGUUUGUCUGAAGUCUGAACUCACAGUUCACCUAAGAAAUAUGCCAGCAUUGAUUAUAGUGUGUAGUGUGUCGGUCACAUUAUUCCCAAACAACAAACAUAAGCAAACAAUUGGCCACAUAAAAGCACAACAUCGGAUUACUUUUUCCCAUGCUUUUUUUUUUCAUAGUAGGAGGGGCUUGAAGGAGGUUAACAUGAUCAUGCUGGCAGGUGAAUAGUGAUGAUUCUACAUACGUUAGAGGCCUUUUAUGUCAUUUUUUGUUUUGCAGUGCCUGGAAUUAAAUAUUAGCAGUGCAAUCUGAGCCACAGACAUUGCCUUUUUGUGCAUCAUUACUGUUCACUAUGCUGUGUCUAGCACCCUAGCUAGAGCAUAUGCAAGUGGGGUGGUCUCAGAAAGCUUUUACAAUCACUAAGAUUUAUCUGAGAAAGCUGAGUUUGGAAGGCCAAUCAACAAGGAUGGUGGAGAAGGUUUUGCAUUCCAUAGGGUAAACAAACAGGGAACAAGGACAAAGAAAAGUGAUAAAUAUAAUAGAGUAACAAAAACAAAAGUCCAUUAUGGGGGACAUUGCAUGUGCCUUGGACAGUAGUAGUGUUCUUUAGUUACUACCAAUUCUCUCAUGGCUCUUGCAAGGGUUUGAGCCAAUGGAGAACAUGAUAACACACUGUUGAGUUGGAUAGCUAUUAGAUUCAGAAAAUGACACUAUACGAUCUCACUUUUCAUCCUUUUAAGUGAUUAACAUCCAUGUGUGCGCAUGUGUUUAUUUUGUCCUUCAUUGGCACCAUUAACAAGCAAGCACAGGGUUUAUACUGUUGUAGUCAGAAUGAGUCAACUUAAAAAGAAUUCUGGAGUCACAUGUUUUCUCCACCGAUUAUAAUCUCUUAAGAUAUCUUAUUUUCUCAGGAUUUUGUCUCUGUCCAUGAAUCUAUCAUGGCCCGAGUUCUCGUUUUCCACGAAGAAACUUGAGGAUGGUGACACCACUCUCAGUCUAAGUGCCAGUACAUUAAAUACACUAGUGUGGGGUUUCACCUGUGCUGGUGUGGUCCAGGUUCAUGAGUGUGAUGGCAGCUUGGCAAUCAAUGAUGUAUAGAACUAUAGAUAUGGUA